rnacentral:tRNA from 1 species
AAUAAAGUGCCUGAAAAUAAAGGAUUAUUUUGAUAGAAUAAAUUAUGUAUAAUUUAUUUAUACCUUUAUUA